CCGCCAUGGCCUCCGUGCCCGCCCAUGGCUGCCCGGGGGCCUGCUCCAGCCAGACAGCAAACCGCGUCUGGAUGCCUGGCCCAGCCGCUGAGAGUCGCAGAGGGUGGGAUUGGGGGCUGGAGGGCAGCUGUGACUGCGCCCUCCCUGGCAGCUGCGCCUGGGCCUCAUGGAGGGGCCGUGGGGCCGAGGCCUGCCAGGAACGGGAGCCCCACGCGGCCGGGUCUGCAGGCAAGGCUGGCUAUUCCGGAAUCUGCCGAGGUGGCCCCUUCCCGGGUGCUGGGUCGGCUGUCCCGCCUCCGGGCAUCUUGGCAGGCACCCGCCACGGGGGACUCCACAGUCAAAGCUCAGGCCCCCGCCGCAGCCACGGCGGCCACCCUCGGCCAGAGGCCCCCCUGCAGUCCUGGGCUUGGAGGGGGCAGGGCACCCCCAGGGAAGAAGCCCCGAGCUCUGCCGCACUCCUGGGGUCCCCAGGGUGCACCGUCAGGGCCUCUGGGCCAGCCCCGAGCUCCUCCACCCCCGCACUCAUUCAUUUAUUCACUCACUCAUUCAUUCGCUCGUUUACAUAUUCAUCGAUUCACUAUCCACUCAUUUACAUAUUCAUUUACAUUUACAUAUUCACCCACUCAUUUACAUGUUCAUUCACUCAGUCACAUGCACACAUUCAUUCACUUCCUCACACAUUCAUUCAUUCACAGUCAUUCAUUCAUUCACACAGUCAUCCACUUGCUGACACAUUUGCUGUUGAAGCCACUCACCCCCACCCACAAAUACUGGGUGAGCCCCCCCAUUCCAGGCACCGAUCCCUGUGUGUUGGGAGCCAGGAAACAGAGAAGUUUGUCAAGGAUGGGAAAGGGGCAGAGAGCAGAGGGACCCAUGCGUGGAUCCAGCCACUGCCCGAGGGACCCACGCAUAGCUCCAGCCACUGCCCAAGGGACCCACGCAUAGGUCCAGCUGUGGCCUGAGGGUCCCUCCCACAUGUAGAUCCAGCCGUGGCCUGAGGGUCCCUCCCACGCGUAGAUCCAGCCACUGCCCGAGGGACCCACGCAUAGCUCCAGCCGCGGCCAGAGGGACCCACACAUAGCUCCAGCCACUGCCCGAGGGACCCACGCAUAGGUCCAGCUGUGGUCUGAGGGUCCUUCCCACAUGUAGAUCCGGCCGUGGCCUGAGGGUCCCUCCCACCGUAGAUCCAGCCGUGGCCUGAGGGUCCCUCCCACCGUAGAUCCGGCUGCAGUCUGACUCCCCUGAGGGUCUCCGUGCCGUGCAGGUGCAGAGCUGAGACCGCAGGGGGAGAACAGCAGUUCCAGUCCUGCCACCAGCUCAGCCCCCGGGGCCCCCGCCCCACCCCGCUCCGCCCCCGGUGACGCGAGGACCAAGCAGAGCCUGAGCAGCUUCCAGGCGCGGGCGGCCCCCACAC
rnacentral:lncRNA from 1 species